rnacentral:rRNA from 1 species
UACCAGCACCCCGAGUGGUCGGGACGAUUAUUGGGCCUAAAGCAUCCGUAGCCGGUCCUACAAGUCUUCCGUUAAAUCCACCUGCUUAACAGAUGGGCUGCGGAAGAUACUAUAGGGCUAGGAGGCGGGAGAGGCAAGCGGUACUCAGUGGGUAGGGGUAAAAUCCUCUGAUCCAUUGAAGACCACCAGUGGCGAAGGCGGUUUGCCAGAACGCGCUCGACGGUGAGGGAUGAAAGCUGGGGGAGCAACCGG